ensembl:miRNA
UCAUCGUGGUCAUUGUUCACUAUGGCUGUGCGUCCUCUGUCUACCUGCAACCCUCAGCCCAGUAUACAACAGGCACAGACAGGCUGGUGACAGUGACUUACACCAUCAU